rnacentral:rRNA from 1 species
GACGAACCGAGCGACCGUUGUUCGGAAUCACUGGGCUUAAAGGGCGCGUAGGCGGGCAUCAUAGUCUGUGGUGAAAUCCGGCAGCUUAACUGUCGAAUUGCCAUGGAUACUGGGUGUCUCGAGGGAGGCAGGGGUGCGCGGAACUAAUGGUGGAGCGGUGAAAUGCGUUGAUAUCAGGAGGAACACCAAUUGCGAAGGCAGCUCGCUGGGACGUAACUGACGCUGAGACGCGAAAGCGUGGGGAGCAAACAGG